rnacentral:tRNA from 1 species
CGUUCUAUUGCCGAAUUGGUAAAGGCAUCGCCGGUCAUAAGCGAGGUUGUGGGUUCGAGUCCCGCUUGAACGA